AUGACCCCCCGGGAAAGCACGGACGGAGAGGACGGACUGAACAGCGGGGCGGAUCCCCAUCUCCUCUUCCUCCUCCUCCCGGUUCCCCUCAGUUCGGCAGGGCGUCGGCCCGGUCCAAGGAGAACAGACCCAGAAAAAAAAAAAACAAAAAAAAAAAACACAAAACCCGAGGUCGGCCGGGCGCUCCCCGGCCUCGCCCUCCCUGAAGGUUUCGGUAUCUACGGGUGUCCCGGAGAGAGAAAGAGCAGCGGCCUCAGCCCCGAGAGGGAGCCGCAGUCCCAGGAACGCCCUUCUUUUGAUUUCCCUCCCUUCUCUUUCUGUCCCCUCCUGGAGACCCGGUACCUUCAAUUCAGGCGUGGCGGCGACAGCAGCAGCAAGGGCCAGGGUACCGCUGCCUACUGGGGCCAGGCCCAUCUCCCGGUGGCGGCGGAGGCGGCGGCGGCGGCAGCAAUAGCAGCACCUCCUCCUCGGCCCCGCCCCGCGCGCCCGGCUUCUGCGUCAUGGCGGCACCACGCCCACCCGGCCGGGUGCCUUGGAGCUUCGAGAACACGGUGUUUUCCCGGGGUACUCCACUCCCGUCCUCGCGGUGCACUUCGCGGGACAUUUCUAUCACUCUCCCUUCCCUGGCCCCCUCCCGCUGUACUGAGACACCGUUAGUGCCGUUAACGCCUUUUCUCCCCUCCCCCAAACCCGCGGUGCAUCUCGGGGCGCCGCCCCAGCUCUAUCACACCCCCCCUCUUCUCCCCUCCCCCACCCCGCAGUGGUGGCUCUAGACUGUUGACGCCUACCAAAGCCUCGCCCCCACCUGGCGGCGCCGGUCUACGCAGCCCCUCCAUCUGGGGGUGCUGCGGUUUGGCCGCGGGCGAGGCACAUUUGAACUCGGUGUCCAGCUUUUUUUGUUUUUUGGUUUUUUUCCCCCCUCUUUGCCCGCGGCGUUUUUUACCUACCAACACCUUCGGAUUUCCCAGCUUUAGGCCGGGGCUCUCCAGACCUGCUGCUGCGAUUUUAGCAGGUGCGGGAGGUAUAGCUCCUGCCCGGCUGCAGAAGCAGGGCGGACGCGCCUGACUCCUCACCAGGGGGAGCUCGGCGGAGCCGCUCACUCACCCGCAUAGUCUGCCGGCUGCCUCCGAAGGAGAUUGAUCUGGUCGACCAGUUUAGCAGGGCCUGCGGACCUGAGUCCAGGCUGCGGCAGAGAAACCCGGAGCAGUCUGGGGAAGCCUCUGCAUCCCUUCCCAAAAUGAUGUUUUUAAAUGCGUAGUACAGUGAAGGAAACCAAUCAUAUUGCAAUUCAUUCACCACAAUUUUUUAAAAGUUCAUAGAUUCCAGGUUAAGAGCUCUUAGUUUUAAAACGCCUCUGCUCUGUUAAAUCCAUCCCCUGUUCCCUUUUUAGUCAUUUUCAUUGCACUUUGCAUCAUCAAUUCCAUUUCAGUUUUAUUCUCUAGUCUCAGUGCCUUUUUUUCCCGAAAUCACCCACAAGUUAUCCUGAUACCGUUUUUGUACGUGGUUGUUUGCAUCUUGUCUUCAUCUUAGACUAAGCUUCUGGAGAGUGACUAUCUUUUGAAUUUAUUCGUAUCCUAUAGCUUAACAGUGCCCAGCACAUAGUAAAUGCUUAUAAAUGCUUCUGGACUUAACCUCUCUUUGCUCCAAACCACCCCUCUUUUGGGGGAGAGGGAAGUCUUUUCAGUGCCCAAUAAAGGUAAUCAGCAUUAGCUCUGGAGUCA
ensembl:lncRNA